GAAGCUAGAGGUGUCAGA
rnacentral:snRNA from 1 species